UGAGAUGGCUCAGUUGGUAGAGCAUGAGACUCUUGAUCUCAGGGUUGUGGUUUCAAGUCCCUUGUUGGGGAAAA